UACGAAGGGUGCAAGCGUUACUCGGAAUUCCUGGGCGUAAAGCGUGCGUAGGCGGUUUGUUAAGUCUGUUGUGAAAUCCCCGGGCUCAACCUGGGAAUGGCAAUGGAUACUGGCAAGCUAGAGUGUGUCAGAGGAUGGUGGAAUUCCCGGUGUAGCGGUGAAAUGCGUAGAGAUCGGGAGGAACAUCAGUGGCGAAGGCGGCCAUCUGGGACAACACUGACGCUGAGGCACGAAAGCGUGGGGAGCAAACAGG
rnacentral:rRNA from 1 species